rnacentral:rRNA from 1 species
CUACGGGGCGCAGCAGUAAGGAAUAUUGGGCAAUGGACGCAAGUCUGACCCAGCCAUGCCGCGUGCAGGAUGACAGCCCUACGGGUUGUAAACUGCUUUUAUAUGGGAAAAAUUCUUCCGACGUGUCGGAAGUCGAUGGUACCAUAUGAAUAAGCACCGGCUAACUCCGUGCCAGCAGCCGCGGUAAUACGGAGGGUGCAAGCGUUAUCCGGAUUUAUUGGGUUUAAAGGGUGCGCAGGCGGAAUGAUAAGUCAGUGGUGAAAUCCUACGGCUCAACUGUAGAACUGCCAUUGAUACUGUUGUUCUUGAGUACAGUUGUAGUGGGCGGAAUAUGUCAUGUAGCGGUGAAAUGCAUAGAUAUGACAUAGAACACCGAUCGCGAAGGCAGCUCACUAAGCUGAAACCGACGCUGAGGCACGAAAGCGUGGGGAGCAAACAGGAUUAGAUACCCGGGUAGUC